rnacentral:rRNA from 1 species
GAUGAACGCUAGCUACAGGCUUAACACAUGCAAGUCGAGGGACCGGCGCACGGGUGAGUAACACGUAUCCAACCUGCCCUUUACUCGGGGAUAGCCUUUCGAAAGAAAGAUUAAUACCCGAUAUAAAGGAUGGGGAUGCGUUCCAUUAGUUUGUUGGUGAGGUAACGGCCCACCAAGCCUUCGAUGGAUAGGGGUUCUGAGAGGAAGUUACCCCACGUUGGAAAUGGGACCCGGACCAAACACGUACGAAGGGGUGCAGUGUGGAAUAUAGGUCAAUGAGCUGUAGCCUGAACAGGCCGAGUAGCGUGAAGGGUGAAGGCUUAUGGAUCGUAAAGUUCUAUUGAAUAAGAAUAGGUAUUAUAUGAAAAAGGAUCGGCUAACUCCGUGCCAGCAGCCGCGGUAAUUC